rnacentral:rRNA from 1 species
UACGUAGGGGGCAAGCGUUGUCCGGAUUUACUGGGCGUAAAGAGCGCGCAGGCGGUCGUUCAAGUCGCGUGUGAAAGCCCCCGGCUCAACUGGGGAGGGUCACGCGAUACUGAUCGACUCGAAGGCAGGAGAGGGAAGUGGAAUUCCCGGUGUAGUGGUGAAAUGCGUAGAUAUCGGGAGGAACACCGGUGGCGAAGGCGGCAUCCUGGACCGGCAUUGACGCUGAGGCGCGAAAGCCAGGGGAGCAAACGGG